rnacentral:rRNA from 1 species
CCUACGGUGGGCAGCAGUGGGGGAUAUUGCACAAUGGGGGAAACCCUGAUGCAGCGACGCCGCGUGUGGGAAGACGGUCCUCUGGAUUGUAAACCACUGUCCCCAGGGACGAAGAUGACGGUACCUGGGGAGGAAGCUCCGGCUAACUACGUGCCAGCAGCCGCGGUAAUACGUAGGGAGCGAGCGUUGUCCGGAAUUACUGGGUGUAAAGGGAGCGUAGGCGGGACUGCAAGUUGGGUGUCAAAUCUACCGGCUCAACCGGUAGCCGCACUCAAAACUGCAGUUCUUGAGUGAAGUCGAGGCAGGCGGAAUUCCUAGGGGAGCGGGGAAAUGCGUAGAUAUUAGGAGGAACACCAGGGGCGAAGGCGGCCUGCUGGGCUUUUACGGACGCUGAGGCUCGAAAGUGUGGGGAGCAAACAGGAUUAGAUACCCGGGUAGUC